rnacentral:rRNA from 1 species
AUUGAACGCUAGCGGGAUGCUUUACACAUGCAAGUCGAACGAGUGGCGGACGGGUGAGAAAUAUAUAGGAACGUGCCCAGUAGCGGGGGAUAACUAGUGGAAAGAGUGGCUAAUACCGCAUACUAUUGGCGCGGCCGAUGUCGGAUUAGCUAGUUGGUGGUGUAAAGGCUCACCAAGGCAACGAUCCGUAGCUGGUCUGAGAGGACGACCAGCCACACUGGAACUGAGACACGGCCCAGACUCCUACGGGAGGCAGCAGUGGGGAAUUUUGGACAAUGGGGGAAAGCCUGAUCCAGCCAUCCCGCGUGUGUGAGAAGGCCUUCGGGUUGUAAAGUUCUUUUAGCAGAGAAGCGGUAUCUGCAGAAUAAGCACCGGCUAACUACGUGCCAGCAGCCGCGGUAAUAC